AGAAAUGCAUUCUCAGCUGACCGUGAGGUCGUGAGGUAGGUUUACAGCGACAUCGACAACAUACGGCGGACGGCAGUGACUCAGCAGGGUUGACAACAACAGUCCUGCGUGCUUUCGUCGAUCUGAGGACAUAUCUUCUAACUGGAAAGGAGACCAACGUUACAAAGCAACAUGUGCUGAGUGAUAAUCUCGGGCAUCGAGUGGUGCCUGAAGAAGAUACAGCAAUGCUGCUGUGGUACGCCAGAGGAGGAGACCAACAAGCGUAGCCUCAGCUGUGCGUCCACCAAGUCCCGCCCUGCAGGGGGAUGAGGCUCGGGGAGGGGGUACCCAGUGCAGCAACAGUACGACCAGUACCCUGUCACCAAGCAGCCACCUCCACCCUACUAUGGUCAGACGACUCAGAGACCAGGAUGAGGCUAGGCCUUAAAAAGUGCCACUAUUAAACACGGGAAUGGUUCCCAUAGGAAUGCUUUUAUGUGCAACAUACAUUUCAAAUUUUCUUUAACUACAGCACUGUACAUUUUUGCAAAUAGUUUUUCUUUUCUGUUGAUACUUUCUAAUAAUAGAAGUAGUAAUAGUCCAUAGUAUAACAUGAUUCCUUCCAUGUUAUUGUUGACGUAACAGGAUAACUUCAGCAAAAUGUUUCUCAAACUUACUUUUCUCUGGAGAAAGUAUUGUCAUAUGGCAACAGGUAGUUCAUACCAAGGAGGUUUUUUUAACCUCCUUGUUCCUACUACAACAUAAUGAUGUAUGAUGCUUGUAUUUAGAAGUAAGUGUUGUCACUCUCUUUGAUAAAUCUUCCUUAAUGCUAAUAAGAGAGCCAUUUUUAAUGAAGGCUGCACCCUAAAGUCACAUGGCGGGGUCAGUUGGAUGUGCACUAAUGGCCUCUUUGUUGAUACUUAUGGACCAUUACCCCUGUUUAAUGAUACAGUAUUUCAAAUGUCUAUAUUUACCAAUUAAUGAACACUACCCCAGAUUCAACAAAUGAGGUAUCCAUUUACUCAAGGAGGUUAACCUCCUUGAUUUACUGUAGAAGACAACCUACUGUUCAGUAUUUGACUAGAAGUAAGACACUCCAUAUUGUGUUGCAUGGAAGUCUUGAAGACAUUUUUAUCUUAGCUUGUGAUAUUCUAUAAACUUUGUUAAUACAGUAUAAAAUACAUGGGGAUUAAAUGCUGUGCUAUAGUAUACUAUUAGCAAACUAAUAAACGAUUUUUGGUAGAUCAUUGUGAUGCGUAAGUAAGUUGUAAUUACAAAUCACAGAAAGCCUCAAAUAGUACAGAAUAAAGUGACUUAUUUGUACACUGUCAUCCUGCUAUUUCAUGCCUGAGCAAUACUGGUGCUUUUACGGUGUAGCACAUGUACGAAUGGCAAUAGUUAUGAGCUUCGAGAUACUAUUAACUUGUAUGACACCGUUCAAAAUUCAGUCCUCUUGUUCAGAAAAGCCUGCUACAAUCUCUGUCACAGUGUUUCCAUUUAUUUCUGCAUAACCACCCCAACUUGAAGAGUUGUACCCACAGGCUGUACAUGUUUACUAUGUUAUGCUUCAGCAAAAGGUGGCUGUAGAUCAAGGGGACAUGUAUGACUAUGGAAAUUCAAGAAUGAUAAUAUAAGGGGACAUAUCAUUGUUUCUGUGCCUUGAAUAACUGUUUGUCGGAAAGAUAUUUUUUAGGAUUUAACAUCAGGAAGUGAUGGACCAAAAUUUAUCAGGUUUAUAAGGUUGAAUUACUAGUAACCAUUGUGAUAACAGGUUUUUAUCAGUAUUUGUAUCCAAUAUUACUCCUGCCCAAUAGAACAGCAAUCAGAUUUUUCCCAAUAUAAGAUAUAGAAACUGUAAUUACUUUGUAGUGAGGAAUUCUUGGAAUUUUCUGCGGCAAAAUUCUGCCUGAUUGUUUGACAUAUGAUCUGUCUAUGUCGUCUUAGCAUCAUCAGUAGUUAAGUGUUACAUUUUGUGAAGAGCAAGGAAUAAAUUUGUAACUGGA